GCGGAAUUCUUUAUGUUUCGAAACUUCUCCGUUUAAUUCUCUGAUUUCACUUCUAUUUCGUGAAUGAAGACAACUUUCGGAUGGCAAGUUCAUAGAUAAGUCCAGCCAGAGAUGUUUUCACAAAAGUAUAAUGACAAGUACUGAGCUAUGGAUUCAAUACACCGCACCACCAUCCCCAUUUCCAAGCAAGAACCAUCAAGAUCUAGAGAAUAUCAAGACCGCGUCAUCAGAAUUGUUUUUCCUUGUGUAGCGAAAAGUGCUGAGCUAUGGAUUCACUUCACCUCAACGCCAUCCCCAAUUCCUAGGAAGGAUCAAUUCAUAUUGUGAACUUAUAGAGGAUCAACAAUGAAGACAAACGGGCAACAGCAACUGGCCAGGAUGGUGCUGGCAAGCUGCGACAACAUGUACAACUGUUGGGGGAGAAACUGGAGCCAAGCAUAUCCGGUAUGGUAUUGCAUAGGUUUUCAUUGACAACUCUGUGAACUUUGUGAACCAUACAUGUAUGUCAUGAAUGUCUUCACCCAAGUUUAUGGAAAGACCAUGCUCCUCAUCCAUUGUGGAACAUCAGGUCACAAUGCAUCUUCAUUUCUUUUGGUCUUUUGCCGACUGCAAAAAUCACCAAUUUUCUCCUUUUCCAAUAAUCCCCAGGUAGCUGGGCGUCUAUUAUAAUAGCUUAAUGCUACCUUGAUUAGAUAUUGAGGAGAUGUAUGCUUCAGCAUGAUAUCAAAGAAUCUUGCAUUCAUAAUGGCCUACAAAUUACUUGCAUGACAAUUCGAAAUGCCUGAAGAUCUUUUUCAGCCUGUUUCAAGAUCAGGGUCGUGGCUGUCGCUGAGGUUGUCCAAGAGAGACCCGAUGCUAUAUUACUGUUAAAAAAAGACAAAGCAGUUUGGUUUGGCAUGGCUAAGUAUUGAUUGACAAACUAUCAAAAAGUUGUGACUUAUUUCUUGUCUGUUGUCUGAGAAACAGUAAUGCCAGUCAUUGGAAAUGUGACAGUGACAGCUUAAUUGACAACAGUCAGGAACAAAAAUUUGAUGUCGGGCAAGGACAACGCAGAGUUGGCACCAUCUUGGAUUAACAGACCGACUGUACAAACUUUGCAACAGCAAAAUAAGCCAGUGACAGUGAGGAUGGGUCUGUGACAGGAUGCCUAAGCCACAUAUCUUCAAGGUAGCUGCCUCUGCUAUGAUGAUAAUGAAAGGAUGAAUGCCAGCAGGAUGACUUAAAAGACAGAAAUUUUCAUGUGUAAUGGCCUAAAAAAUUUAGGAUGGUCCUAAUGGUUUUAGCCUUCUGUUUCAGCAUGGUUUUAAGAUUGAAGGACAGGGAUGUCACAGAGGUCUGGAAAAACUAUUGCUAACUGGGAUGCCCUCGCAUUUGGAACACCUGCUGUGAAGCAGGACUGGGGACGCACCAAGAAAGAUAUUUUUUCCUUCCGGCCAUGUUGCCAGUGCCACAAAGAACAGAACUGAAGUUGGUUCCAGUUUAAAUAUGAACUUGAAUUAUCAGAGGCUGUCCAAAACACUCUGCACCCUACAGUUAAAGGACGAAGCAGCUUGGUUUUACCUGGGGAAAUGUCCACUGACUAGGUGCCAACAUAAACAUGAUAGAGGGCACUGAUAAUUAGAUGCCCAAUUUGCCUCUUUGGCAAGUUGUAGCAUGUUUGUUGUUUCGUGAGAAAUACACUGUUUUAAAGCAUGCAUUUUGAAAUGAUUCCUUUGGCCUGUGCAAGACAAUGAUGCAGAUCCUAGAACUCGGUGAGACGGUGACAGCAGGUUAGGAAUUAAGAAGACUUGUCAAUGCAUGUUUUAAAAAUUCAGAGGAAAUUUGGCUGCAGUCAAGACGUCCUUGCAGUGAAAAGCUUGAGGUGUUACAAGUUCAGGCAUUCUAAUAGUUUGAGUUAUUUUUCAACCUGCAUGGUUUCAAGGAAGAUGAGAUGGAGAGAUACAAUAUACAUGGAGAAACAUGUGUCCGUUACACAAUGGUGUGUGUGUGUAUCCUGAAGAGGGAUUCAGUUGACUUUUGAAGGAGCAAGUCAACAAGUCGAAAAGCUGUCUAAAGCAUUGAAGUUUCUUGCCCUUCAUUCAGGCAAGAGAAGUAUGCAGUCUCAUACAGCUUGAAGUAACAUUCAUGUCUCUGAACCUGGCUAACAUAAAUUAAAUCUUGAUGCCUGCCCAAAUAAUGAACAAAAAUCUGCUCAACAUCAAAUCAACUCGGACAGUGGACUUGACCUAUUAUCUGGAGAUGGUGUUUAGUAUUUUAUCAAAUUGAAACACCAUCCAAGGAAUCUUGUGAUGAAAAACGGCAGGAGUUCCCUGUGUGGACUAAAGCUCCUCCAUCUGAUGGCACAGACUAGAAAAAAAAGAAAAGCUACCACACCAUCGUACUCCUGGUAAUCAAGCCAAGAUCAGUUCACAUGCUGAGGGUUGCAACUCCAACACCACUAACAAGAUUUCACUGUGUUCAGCUGACUGCAGCAAAAUCUGACUCGAGAAAAUGAUGAAGAAAUCUACAAUGUCGUUGCAAGGACAAGCAAUCUUAGAAUACAAGGGAAAGGAAAAUAUGUCGAUCUUUCGACCUUGGAGGGUGCCCCCGCCAGUAACUUAUGUCGAUAUUUCAACCAGAUGUGCUUUGGUUCACCAGUUACAUCCUCGGAUGAUACAGAACAUGCAGGACAUUGUGAACAUGGAGAAUAUCAAGAAGAACUGAGUGAUGCCGAAAUACCUGAAGAUUUACUUUUUCAGCUAAGAAUCACUUGUAGGCCUAAAGGUUUGAAGUUAUACCUAAAUUCCUCAGGACUACAUGUAUGGCUAAUACUCCUAUUAGGUAGCCUGGAAAACAUUUCAUCCUGGAUGCAGAGAAAGACUAGUUUAGAUUACUUGUUAAGUUAGUUUUAGUGUAAGUUUUCACUGUUAAGGAUACAUACACCGAUGUGAAUCACAGUGAAGGACCUUCUCAGGCAAGGAACCAACGUCUUUGUAUUGCAGCCACUGUAGCUUAGGUAGUAUAGUGACCUAGAUGUAGUUGUUUCCAGUUAUUAAAAUCCAUAGGGUUAGUCCCAUUAACCUUGAGUCUGUUGAACUGGGUCCAUUGAAUAUAACAAAAAUAAUCGAUGCCUAUUUACAAAUGAAAUGAAGAGUCUGCAUUUUGGUACAACUCCAUAUAACUGUCGGGUGAUUUGGCUCUGAACUUGUGACACUCAGAUCGGUGUGAAAUAAAUCAUUAUCCCGCCCCUCUGGGAAAAAUUUGCAGCCAGAUUGCACCAUUUCCUGUUACUGUCUGAGAGAUGGCAAUGUCAGGGGCGCAUGACGGUGGUAUAAACCUAUUGCGAAUGGGCAGCACAAUUGGGUGUAGGAUAUUCCGAAACCAUUGCACACUCCUGAAUCUGCGGUGGGUUGGUACCCCACGCUACGUAAGGAGUAGGUUUCCGAGUAAAACUUGGUCCACGUGAAUGGGUCGUGCCUUAAAAAUGAUGAGAAGUUGCGAAUUGACGCCCUGUGAAGUGUCCUUCGACCAGCUAGUGCCAAUCCGGUCACUGUCUCCAGGUCACCAUGCCUCGGUCAAUGAGCGGGCGAAGCACCCAAUGGCUCCGUCAGGAGUACAUCGUCAACUUCAGCCCGUAGUCAAACCGGUACACGCACGAAUAUCUUAGUUGAGAGUGGGGGACAUCAGUAAAGUGCUUCUCAUCGGGGUAAUACAGUACCACUGUAUACAAUGACCCCAUUUUUUGUUGGAUUCAUUUCCACUGAGGAGUGGUCGAUAAUGAGAAUUUCAGGCCAGUCUGAUUAUCACCAGUACAGAGGGCAAUUAUCUAAUAGUUGUGUGGCUUUCCUUCAAACUGUACACUCUUUCAUGUCAAUUGUAAAUUAGUGUUGCUUGAUAGUGUCCAGGGUCUUUUUAUCGAAGAGGCACAUCUGCAUACCAGUAAUUAUGUGCAAACAUCAUUUUUGCUUUGAAGCAAUAUCGUUGCUACACUCCUAAAGCAGUGGCUGUCUUCAGGUCUUUUCUGUGUCGCGGGCAAAUAUGCAUACCAGUGAUUAUAUGUAUAAUUAAGUUUUGCUUUGAAGCAAUAUCAGUGCUACACUUGUGAAGCAGUGACAGUGUUCAGGUUUUGUCUGCCUCGCUGAUAUAUCUGCAUACCAGUAAUUAUGUGCAGACUUGGCCCUUUCUUUGGAGCAGUACAGUUGUAAGAUAAAUCCU